rnacentral:piRNA from 1 species
CGGAAUACUUUGAAAGCUAAGGUGAAU